rnacentral:rRNA from 1 species
GGCGGCAUGCCUUACACAUGCAAGUCGAACGGUAGAGUAGCAAUACUUGAGAGUGGCGGAACGGUGAGUAAUAUAUCGGAACGUGCCCAGUCGUGGGGGAUAACGUAGACGAAAGCUACGCUAAUACCGCAUACGAUCUAUGGAUGAAAGCGGGGAUCGCAAGACCUCGCGCGAUUGGAGCGGCCGAUAUCAGAUUAGGUAGUUGGUGAGGUAAAGGCUCACCAAGCCGACGAUCUGUAGCUGGUCUGAGAGGACGACCAGCCACACUGGGACUGAGACACGGCCCAGACUCCUACGGGAGGCAGCAGUGGGGAAUUUUGGACAAUGGGCGCAAGCCUGAUCCAGCAAUGCCGCGUGCAGGAUGAAGGCCUUCGGGUUGUAAACUGCUUUUGUACGGGACGAAACGGUGAGCUCUAAUACAGUUUGCUAAUGACGGUACCGUAAGAAUAAGCACCGGCUAACUACGUG